rnacentral:rRNA from 1 species
AAACCGUUCAGGGGUAAACCUGUGAAACCCAAAAGAUCGAAUGGGGAGAUUCAUCGUCAGCGUUUUUAGUAUUAAUGCAAGCUAUGAUGUGAUAAUAGAAUCCUUCGUGGUCACUAGAUUAUACUUGCUUGUAUUAUUUUUGCUAAAUUCGUCGGCGUGCACUUCUCCUCUAGUAGAACGUCGCAACCUGUUGGAUGUUUAUCUAUGGCUCAAUUGGUAGCCUUUAGUAUUUGAUUAUACUGAAGACCUUUGGUGUCCUGAUAAACUGUUUGACAGUAUACAUAUGGUAUUGAGCCGCAAUUAUUUGCGUUAGACUUACCGCAAGCGUGAUUUUCUCCUGGUAGUGCGGAUUUAAUGCCGUCACUGGGAAAAAUCUGCUGUUAGCUGUGUAAUGUCUUUAACUGGGCUUAUUUACCGGGUUAGCGAUGCUACUGCUUUUGGGUACUUACAGGA